rnacentral:rRNA from 1 species
AAGUCGAACGAAGCCUUCGGGCUUAGUGGCGCACGGGUGCGUAACGCGUGGGAAUCUGCCCUCUGGUACGGAAUAACUCAGGGAAACUUGAGCUAAUACCGUAUAAUGACUUCGGUCCAAAGAUUUAUCGCCUGAGGAUGAGCCCGCGUAGGAUUAGCUUGUUGGUGAGGUAAAAGCUCACCAAGGCGACGAUCCUUAGCUGGUCUGAGAGGAUGAUCAGCCACACUGGGACUGAGACACGGCCCAGACUCCUACGGGAGGCAGCAGUGGGGAAUAUUGGACAAUGGGCGAAAGCCUGAUCCAGCAAUGCCGCGUGAGUGAUGAAGGCCUUAGGGUUGUAAAGCUCUUUUACCCGGGAUGAUAAUGACAGUACCGGGAGAAUAAGCCCCGGCUAACUCCGUGCCANCAGCCGCGGUAAUACGGAGGGGGCUAGCGUUGUUCGGAAUUACUGGGCGUAAAGCGCACGUAGGCGGCUUUGUAAGUUANAGGUGAAAGCCCGGGGCUCAACUCCNGAAUUGCCUUUAA